rnacentral:rRNA from 1 species
AACGAACGCUGGCGGCAUGCCUAACACAUGCAAGUCGAACGAGACCUUCGGGUCUAGUGGCGCACGGGUGCGUAACGCGUGGGAAUCUGCCCUUGGGUUCGGAACAACAGUUGGAAACGACUGCUAAUACCGGAUGAUGACUUCGGUCCAAAGAUUUAUCGCCCAAGGAUGAGCCCGCGUAGGAUUAGCUUGUUGGUGAGGUAAAAGCUCACCAAGGCGACGAUCCUUAGCUGGUCUGAGAGGAUGAUCAGCCACACUGGGACUGAGACACGGCCCAGACUCCUACGGGAGGCAGCAGUGGGGAAUAUUGGACAAUGGGCGAAAGCCUGAUCCAGCAAUGCCGCGUGAGUGAUGAAGGCCUUAGGGUUGUAAAAUCCUUUCACCGGUGAAGAUAAUGACUGUAGCCGGAGAAGAAGCCCCGGCUAACUUCGUGCCAGCCGCCGCCGUAACAC